GAUGAACGCUGGCGGCGUGCCUAAUACAUGCAAGUCGAGCGAACAGACGAGGAGCUUGCUCCUCUGACGUUAGCGGCGGACGGGUGAGUAACACGUGGAUAACCUACCUAUAAGACUGGGAUAACUUCGGGAAACCGGAGCUAAUACCGGAUAAUAUAUUGAACCGCAUGGUUCAAUAGUGAAAGACGGUUUUGCUGUCACUUAUAGAUGGAUCCGCGCCGCAUUAGCUAGUUGGUAAGGUAACUGCUUACCAAGGCAACGAUGCGUAGCCGACCUGAGAGGGUGAUCGGCCACACUGGAACUGAGACACGGUCCAGACUCCUACGGGAGGCAGCAGUAGGGAAUCUUCCGCAAUGGGCGAAAGCUUGACGGAGCAACGCCGCGUGAGUGAUGAAGGUCUUCGGAUCGUAAAACUCUGUUAUUAGGGAAGAACAAAUGUGUAAGUAACUAUGCACGUCUUGACGGUACCUAAUCAGAAAGCCACGGCUAACUACGUG
rnacentral:rRNA from 1 species